rnacentral:rRNA from 1 species
AAGGUGGGGAUGACGUCAAAUCAUCAUGCCCCUUAUGAUUUGGGCUACACACGUGCUACAAUGGACAAUACAAAGGGCAGCGAAACCGCGAGGUCAAGCAAAUCCCAUAAAGUUGUUCUCAGUUCGGAUUGUAGUCUGCAACUCGACUAUAUGAAGCUGGAAUCGCUAGUAAUCGUAGAUCAGCAUGCUACGGUGAAUACGUUCCCGGGUCUUGUACACACCGCCCGUCACACCACGAGAGUUUGUAACACCCGAAGCCGGUGGAGUAACCAUUUGGAGCUAGCCGUCGAAGGUGGGACAAAUGAUUGGGGUGAAGUCGUAACAAGGUAGCCGUAUCGGAAGGUGCGGCUGGAUCACCUCCUUUCUAAGGA